GAUAAGAAGAGGACUUAAACCUAUGUUUUCGGGGCUACAACCCGCCGC
rnacentral:tRNA from 1 species